CACGUAGGGGGCGAGCGUUGUCCGGAUUUAUUGGGCGUAAAGGGCUCGUAGGCGGUUCGUCACGUCGGGAGUGAAAACUCGGAAGCUUAACUCCGAGCCCUGCUUCCGAUACGGGCAGACUAGAGGUAGGCAGGGGAGAGCGGAACUCCUGGGUGUAGGCGGUGGAAUGCGCAGGAUAUCAGGAAGAACACCGGUGGCGAAGGCGGCAUCCUGGACCAAUAUUGACGCUGAGGAGCGAAAGCCAGGGGAGCAAAGCGGG
rnacentral:rRNA from 1 species